rnacentral:rRNA from 1 species
UACCUGCAGCUCGAGUGGUGAUCGUUAUUAUUGGGCCUAAAACGUCCGUAGCCGGUCUUGUAAAUGCCUAGGUAAAUCGUAUGGCUUAACUAUACGAAUUCUGGGUAGACUGUUAGACUUGAGACCGGGAGAAGCUAGAGGUACUCCUGGGGUAGAGGUGAAAUUCUGUAAUCCUAGGGGGACCACCAGUGGCGAAGGCGUCUAGCUAGAACGGGUCUGACGGUGAGGGACGAAGCCCUGGGGCGCAAACGGGAUUAGAUACCCCGGUAGUCCAGGGUGUAAACGCUGCUUGCUUGAUGUUAGUCUGGCUCCGAGCCAGAUUAGUGUCGGAGAGAAGUUGUUAAGCAAGCUGCCUGGGAAGUACGGCCGCAAGACUGAAACUUAAGGAAUUGGGCGGGGGGGCACCACAAGGGGUGAAGCGUUGCGGUUU